rnacentral:rRNA from 1 species
AGAGCGAACGCUGGCGGCAUGCUUAACACAUGCAAGUCUCACGGGCAGCAAUGUCAGUGGCGGACGGGUGAGUAACGCGUAGGUAUCUAUCCAUGGGUGGGGGAUAACGUCGGGAAACUGACGCUAAUACCGCAUGACAUCUGAGGAUCAAAGGCGCGAGUCGCCUGUGGAGGAGCCUGCGUACGAUUAGCUAGUUGGUGGGGUAAAGGCCUACCAAGGCGACGAUCGUUAGCUGGUCUGAGAGGAUGAUCAGCCACACUGGGACUGAGACACGGCCCAGACUCCUACGGGAGGCAGCAGUGGGGAAUAUUGGACAAUGGGCGAAAGCCUGAUCCAGCAAUGCCGCGUGUGUGAAGAAGGUCUUCGGAUUGUAAAGCACUUUCGGCGGGGACGAUGAUGACGGUACCGCAGAAGAGCCCGGCUAACUUCGCGCCAGCAGCCGCGGUAA